UGUUUCUGUCAUGUUCGAAAGUGCUGUAGAAACUUGGAGGCCAAUGCUGAUCCUGUCAUUAUCCCUUGUGAAUGGCAUUUAUUAGUAGGGCAUAUACAGCUGCUCCAGCUACAGAAACUUCUUCAUUUCAGACUGUUCUCUAGACCCCCGUCUACACCACGCCUGACCCUUCCUCGCGAGACAAGAAUCUUCACCAUCUGAAUUAUGAGUGCCCAUCGUCACUUUUCCUUCUCUCCUUUACUGGAGGGGCUGGAUUUGGAUCUGAACACUCACUAUCAGCUCGCGCAUCUCUCUGCUGACAUCAUGGUGCUACUUAACGUUCUUUGCAGCACUCCCUCUGGAAAUGGAAAUGCCCCCCCCCCCCGAUACAGAAUCCACCCUGUGAAUGUGUGUGUUGACGCCUCUACACAGACCCUCCGCCUGACCCUCCCUCCAGCUUUCAGUCUGAGGAUGAUGUCACCUUCUCUGAUCUGGGCUCUGACCAUUCUUCCCUCUUCUCACCUGUCAGUCCGCCAUACUCUCAGUGUUCUCCUUAUUUCACCCUUGCUGACUAUCCCAUGUCCCCAGGACGCACCCCAUUUUCUUCCCCCUACCGCUCUCCUCAAGAUUACGCACCCACCAGUCCUGUGAAUUUUCAAUAAAAUUACAUAUUACUCAUA